rnacentral:rRNA from 1 species
CCUACGGGACGCAGCAGUGGGGAAUAUUGCACAAUGGGCGCAAGCCUGAUGCAGCCAUGCCGCGUGUAUGAAGAAGGCCUUCGGGUUGUAAAGUACUUUCAGCGGGGAGGAAGGUGUUGAGGUUAAUAACCUCAGCAAUUGACGUUACCCGCAGAAGAAGCACUGGCUAACUCCGUGCCAGCAGCCGCGGUAAUACGGAGGGUGCAAGCGUUAAUCGGAAUUACUGGGCGUAAAGCGCACGCAGGCGGUCUGUCGAGUCGGAUGUGGAAUCCCCGGGCUCAACCUGGGAACUGCAUUCGAAACUGGCAGGCUAGAGUCUUGUAGAGGGGGGUAGAAUUCCAGGUGUAGCGGUGAAAUGCGUAGAAAUCUGGAGGAAUACCGGUGGCGAAGGCGGCCCCCUGGACAAAGAAUGACGCUCAGGUGCGAAAGCGUGGGGAGCAAACAGGAUUAGAUACCCUCGUAGUC